UACGAAGGGGGCUAGCGUUGCUCGGAAUCACUGGGCGUAAAGCGCACGUAGGCGGAUAUUUAAGUCAGGGGUGAAAUCCCGGGGCUCAACCCCGGAACUGCCUUUGAUACUGGGUAUCUCGAGUCCGAGAGAGGUGAGUGGAAUUCCGAGUGUAGAGGUGAAAUUCGUAGAUAUUCGGAGGAACACCAGUGGCGAAAGGCGGCUCACUGGCUCGGUACUGACGCUGAGGUGCGAAAGCGUGGGGAGCAAACAGG
rnacentral:rRNA from 1 species